AACGAACGCUGGCGGCAUGCCUAACACAUGCAAGUCGAACGAUCCCUUCGGGGAUAGUGGCGCACGGGUGCGUAACGCGUGGGAACCUGCCCUUAGGUUCGGAAUAACUCAGAGAAAUUUGAGCUAAUACCGGAUAAUGUCUUCGGACCAAAGAUUUAUCGCCUUUGGAUGGGCCCGCGUUGGAUUAGCUAGUUGGUGGGGUAAAGGCCUACCAAGGCGACGAUCCAUAGCUGGUCUGAGAGGAUGAUCAGCCACACUGGGACUGAGACACGGCCCAGACUCCUACGGGAGGGAGCAGUGGGGAAUAUUGGACAAUGGGCGAAAGCCUGAUCCAGCAAUGCCGCGUGAGUGAUGAAGGCCUUAGGGUUGUAAAGCUCUUUUACCCGGGAUGAUAAUGACAGUACCGGGAGAAUAAGCCCCGGCUAACUCCGUG
rnacentral:rRNA from 1 species